UUGGCCCGUUAUUCAAACUACACUACUCAAUGCAACAAGAUUCAAACUCACGACGCAUAUUAUGAAACAACCAUGACUUAUCACUACACUACUCAAUGCUUUGUGAGUUAUCUAAACUGUGGACCUUUUUAAUACUUACUUUUCUUCUUCCCUUUUCAUUUUUCUUUAUUUUCUUUGUUUUCGUUUUCCGUUUCUUGUCUCUUUGUCUAUUCUUUUUUUCUUUCUUCUCUUUUAUUUAUCUAUUUAUUUUCAUCCCUUCUCCUUUUUCCAUAUUCUCUUUUCCUUUCUUAUUUGUUCUUUCCUGUAUUUUUAUGACCAUGUGUAUAUUUUUUAUUACAUAAUUUCUUCAUUAAUUUUGUGUGUUCCUCGAGUAGCUAUCUUAUCUCAACUUUAUAAUUUUUUUUCUUUUCCCUCCUUUUAUAUUAUUUUUUUCUUGCAGAUACUCAUAUCUUCCAUUAUUAUUGAACUAUUCAUCAAACUAUAUUUUUUUCUUCUUUCCUUAAAUAUUUUUGUGUGUUCAUGAUGAUUGAAGAAAUCUUUGACACAACAUAAUUUUUUCGUGGUGUACAAUACUUUGUACAAUUGUUUAGUUAACGAUAUAGUUCUGUUUAUUAUACACGUAGAAUUAUUUAUUGCAUAUUGAGCCAUACGUUCAAGAUGCAUACUUAUUUGUUUGCGUCAUUUGAUAUUUUUGUUCUGUAUAAAUACGUUGUUCUGUGAGUUUCUACAAUUUGUUUGACGUACGCACAGAUAUUUUGUUCCCUAAGUCCGUAUAAUUUCCUCAAUGUAUACUAUUGUUUUGUUCCGUCAGUUUGUAUAAUUUAUUCCGGAUGUAUUUAUUUUUAUUCUUUAGUUCAUAUUAUUUUGUUCAAUGUAUACUACUAUUUUGUUCCGUCAGAUUAUAUAAUUUUAUUUCAGGUGUAUUUAUUUAUUAUUAUUGAUUAUUCUAUUAUUUUUUUCUUCUUUUUGUUCUCUUUUUUAAUUUAUUAUUAGUGAAUACAAUAUACCUAUUUCGUAUUAUUUUAUCCUUUAACUUUCCUUUGGAUAGUAAAUUGUUUUGUUUAGGUGUAUUCUUUUAUUAUAUGAGUUCGUGCAAUUUGUUCGAUGUGCACAACUUUUUGUCAUGUAAGUUUAUAUAAAUUGUUCUAGAUUUAUAAAUUGUUGUUCUUUGAGUUGUACAAUUUGUUUAUACAUUUUGUUCUGUAAGGCAUGUAUAAUUGAUUUGUUCUAUAGGUUCAUAUGAUUUGUUCGACGCGUAUAGAAGACUGAUUUGGCUCUCUUUUUC
rnacentral:lncRNA from 1 species